GGGCUAUAUAAGUUGGCUCCGGGCGGUUGGAGGUCCUUUGGAGGACGGUGAUUCAGUCUACAGACGCCGUCCCAGAAGCAGGAGGUGCCACUUCUCUUCCACUUCCCGCUGCAACCAAUAAAGGCCGUUCCUACCGUA